rnacentral:rRNA from 1 species
CCUACGGGGUGCAGCAGUGGGGGAUAUUGCACAAUGGGGGAAACCCUGAUGCAGCGACGCCGCGUGGGUGAAGAAGUAUUUCGGUAUGUAAAGCCCUAUCAGCAGGGAAGAAAGAAGACGGUACCUGACUAAGAAGCCCCGGCUAACUACGUGCCAGCAGCCGCGGUAAUACGUAGGGGGCGAGCGUUAUCCGGAUUCACUGGGUGUAAAGGGAGCGUAGACGGCCGUGCAAGCCAGGAGUGAAAGCCCGGGGCCCAACCCCGGGACUGCUCUUGGAACUGUGCGGCUGGAGUGCGGGAGGGGCAGGCGGAAUUCCGGGUGUAGCGGUGAAAUGCGUAGAUAUCAGGAGGAACACCGGCGGCGAAGGCGGCCUGCUGGACCGCGACUGACGUUGAGGCUCGAAAGCGUGGGGAGCGAACAGGAUUAGAUACCCCAGUAGUC